UACGGAGGAUGCGAGCGUUAUCCGGAUUUAUUGGGUUUAAAGGGUGCGCAGGCGGCACGGCAAGCCGGCGGUCAAAUCGCGGGGCUCAACCCCGCCCAGCCGUCGGAACUGCCGGGCUAGAGUGGGCGAGAAGUGCGCGGAAUGCGUGGUGUAGCGGUGAAAUCCAUAGAUAUCACGCAGAACUCCGAUUGCGAAGGCAGCGCACCGGCGCCCUACUGACGCUCAGGCACGAAAGCGUGGGUAUCGAACAGG
rnacentral:rRNA from 1 species